rnacentral:tRNA from 1 species
GGAGAGAUGGCAGAGUUGGUCGAUUGCAUCUGACUUGAAAUCAGACGAAUUUGAAAGAAUUCCGGGGGUUCGAAUCCCUCUCUCUCCG